GGUCAAUGAUGUUUUGGCAUGUAUUAUCUGACGUUAAAGCUGAUGUGUAUAGCACUUUAGCUCUAGAAUUACGCUGAGACCUU
ensembl:snoRNA